AGAAUCAACGCUGGCGGCGUGCCUAACACAUGCAAGUCGAACGCGAAAGGGGCGCAAGUCCUGAGUAGAGUGGCAAACGGGUGAGUAACACGUGGGUGACCUGCCUUCGAGUGGGGGAUAACGUUCCGAAAGGAACGCUAAUACCGCAUGACAUCCUGCGUUUGGAAACGCGGACAUCAAAGCUGGGGAUCGCAAGACCUGGCGCUCGGAGAGGGGCCCGCGGCUGAUUAGCUGGUUGGUGGGGUAAUGGCUCACCAAGGCGACGAUCAGUA
rnacentral:rRNA from 1 species